rnacentral:rRNA from 1 species
UACAGAGGUGGCAAGCGUUUGUUCGGAAUUACUGGGCGUAAAGGGCGCGUAGGCGGCCUACUAAGUCAGACGUGAAAUCCCCCCGGCUUAACCUGGGAACUGCGUCUGAUACUGGAAGGCUUGAGGAUGGGAGAGGGAUGUAGAAUUCCAGGUGUAGCGGUGAAAUGCGUAGAUAUCUGGAGGAAUACCGGUGGCGAAGGCGGCAUCCUGGACCGGCAUUGACGGCUGAGG